UCACACCGGUAAUUGACCAAUCAAAAUGAACUUAGUCAAUUGUAGUUCCAUACAUAUAAAAUUAAUUUUUCUUUCUUUUGAUAAUUUUUUUAAUUUUCUUCCAGGCUAUUUUUACAACUUUGGUACCUGUGCCUAGUAAAUUUAAUGUACUUUGUAAAUAAAUACAGUUUUUUGACAGGAACUAUUUUUUUCAGGGCAUAGGAGGCUACUUCCUGGGGUGCACUGGAGCUGUUUAUAAACACAUUGAAAACACGUGGAUUUGAGGGUAGCCCUGUUUGCAGAUGGAAAAAAUCAGAAAAUGCCGUGUAGGUACCCUGUUUUUUGGACUCGGCUAAUGAGAGAGGGCAUAGGAGGCUACUUCCUGGGGUGCACUGGAGCUGUUUAUAAACACAUUGAAAACACGUGGAUUUGAGGGUAGCCCUGUUUGCAGAUGGAAAAAAUCAGAAAAUGCCGUGUAGGUACCCUGUUUUUUGGACUCGGCUAAUGAGAGAGGGCAUAGGAGGCUACUUCCUGGGGUGCACUGGAGCUGUUUAUAAACACAUUGAAAACACGUGGAUUUGAGGGUAGCCCUGUUUGCAGAUGGAAAAAAUCAGAAAAUGCCGUGUAGGUACCCUGUUUUUUGGACUCGGCUAAUGAGAGAGGGCAUAGGAGGCUACUUCCUGGGGUGCACUGGAGCUGUUUAUAAACACAUUGAAAACACGUGGAUUUGAGGGUAGCCCUGUUUGCAGAUGGAAAAAAUCAGAAAAUGCCGUGUAGGUACCCUGUUUUUUGGACUCGGCUAAUGAGAGAGGGCAUAGGAGGCUACUUCCUGGGGUGCACUGGAGCUGUUUAUAAACACAUUGAAAACACGUGGAUUUGAGGGUAGCCCUGUUUGCAGAUGGAAAAAAUCAGAAAAUGCCGUGUAGGUACCCUGUUUUUUGGACUCGGCUAAUGAGAGAGGGCAUAGGAGGCUACUUCCUGGGGUGCACUGGAGCUGUUUAUAAACACAUUGAAAACACGUGGAUUUGAGGGUAGCCCUGUUUGCAGAUGGAAAAAAUCAGAAAAUGCCGUGUAGGUACCCUGUUUUUUGGACUCGGCUAAUGAGAGAGGGCAUAGGAGGCUACUUCCUGGGGUGCACUGGAGCUGUUUAUAAACACAUUGAAAACACGUGGAUUUGAGGGUAGCCCUGUUUGCAGAUGGAAAAAAUCAGAAAAUGCCGUGUAGGUACCCUGUUUUUUGGACUCGGCUAAUGAGAGAGGGCAUAGGAGGCUACUUCCUGGGGUGCACUGGAGCUGUUUAUAAACACAUUGAAAACACGUGGAUUUGAGGGUAGCCCUGUUUGCAGAUGGAAAAAAUCAGAAAAUGCCGUGUAGGUACCCUGUUUUUUGGACUCGGCUAAUGAGAGAGGGCAUAGGAGGCUACUUCCUGGGGUGCACUGGAGCUGUUUAUAAACACAUUGAAAACACGUGGAUUUGAGGGUAGCCCUGUUUGCAGAUGGAAAAAAUCAGAAAAUGCCGUGUAGGUACCCUGUUUUUUGGACUCGGCUAAUGAGAGAGGGCAUAGGAGGCUACUUCCUGGGGUGCACUGGAGCUGUUUAUAAACACAUUGAAAACACGUGGAUUUGAGGGUAGCCCUGUUUGCAGAUGGAAAAAAUCAGAAAAUGCCGUGUAGGUACCCUGUUUUUUGGACUCGGCUAAUGAGAGAG